CUUAAUUGGUAAAAUAUAUAUUCUGGGUUUUCUCAAAUGAUAUCAAAAUCUUUCGAAUAGGUUAUACGUUAAUUGUUGGGGAAAAAUUACGAAUUUAUUUAUAAAAAAAAAAAAAAUUGCUCAACGGAACAAAAUAUAGUUGUCAGUGUUCGACGGUGAUGCAGCGAUUUCGAUUAAGUGUAUUUCACAAUAUAGAGCAUAUUUGUAACAUGAAAUAUAAAACUCUCAUCAUCAACUAUAUAUAUCGUUAACUUUAAACAUGGUCAACAUAUAAAUAUACAAUCAUCACGGUAAGUUAAAUGUAUCCAUACAAUACAUACAAUGAAUCUAUACACGGUACAAGUAAGACCCUACAUCAGCUGCUCUUCCCAUUUUCUAUAUUCUGCUUUUCUCCUGUCAGCUCAGAUACAUACAUAAAUGCAUACACACGUAUAUGCGAAGUAUAUAUAUCUCGGAAUACGUUGCUAAUACACAAUUAUACAAAACGCUAUAGCGAAAUUCGCGAUCGCGCGUGUUAUUCUUUUAUAUAUAUUUUUCUUUUUUUUUUUUCAUUUUGUUUCUCUUUUUCCCUUAUAGAAAUUUACAUUUACCAAUGGUACGUAGACAUGCUACCGAUAAAAAAAAAAGAAACAAGAAUAAACGAAAAUAUAUAUAUAUAUUGAAAAAGUUUCAUUUACAUGAAUUACAAAGAACGGAGUAUUGGUUCAACGGAUAAUCUCUCUCUCUCUCUCUCUCUCUUGCUCUCUCGCUCUCUCUCCCCCCCUCUCUCUCUCUCCCUCUCACAAUUUUUCCCGUGAUCACUUAGAUUGAUUAUUACAUGUAUAGUAGCAUUUUGGCACUUAUAGAGAAGAAUUUUGUAGACUGUAGAUUUUACGCGAAGACGGUGCUAUAUCUUGUUUGUUUUCUUCUUUAAAUGGAUCGCAGAAUGAUUUAGGCCAAUACCGAAGUAUUUUGCACUUGUGUUUUGUCUGUUAGAUGGUUGUUGUUUGCUGAACAUCCGCCAAUGGCAACGAAAAAAUGUGUACGAUAUCUUUAGGAACAUGCAGAGAAACAUCCGUGGUAUCUUCUCCGUCUGUUGGUCAGUCUCCAGCCUCGACGGGCUCUCUCUCCUCUACUAUUCACGCGAAUAAAGUCAUCUUGACGAAGAACCCGAGAGAUCCUCGUGGAGUCCUGCUCGUCGUUUUCUCUCUUGAUUCGCAAAAUAUGUCUGUGUAGGUGUGUGUGUUGUGUCAGUCUUAUCUGGUAGUGUACUGCCAGUCCGGUCACGUCAUUUGGGCGGCGUUGAAGCCUCGUUUCCUCGACGUGGUGAAGUGUUGCGGAUUGCUGAUCUGAUAUUGUUGCACGUAUGGAUUGUUCCUGAGGACAUUGCCGCCAGGCGAACCGGCCGAAUAUUGCGAAGGUACCGUGAUUAUCCCGGUUUGUUGCAAAUACUGUUCGCGAUAGAGCGCCUGUUGUGUCACGUAUUCUCCAUUCACAGGAUUCUGAGCACCGUAAUGAACCUUCACGGACUUCGCGGUUGUCUGAUUAGCGUUGCAUUCCUUAUAACUAUCGGGAUAACGCAGACCGGUUGGAGAGGAUCCAGGCGGCGUGACAUUUUUUAAGCUCUGGGUCGGACUCUGGGUGAUCGACUCUAACACGUGCCUCGGCAUACUUGGCGAUGG
rnacentral:misc_RNA from 1 species